UGCGCGCCGCCGCGCUCUCGCUGCUGCCUAAACUGCUGCCUGCCGUCGCUGAUACACGCCCGGGGCUAGAAGCGAUCCUGGAGUGCCUGGAGUCGCGGCAGCCAGAAGUAGCGGCGAGCGCGCUGGACGCGCUGCCCGAGCUAGCGUGCGCCGCUCCCGAGCACGCGGGCACGCUGCUGCGCCGAACGUUCGCGCUCGCGCUCGCCUCGCGCCUGCCCGCCGAAUCCGCGCUGGCGCGCACCGUGGCUGCGCUCAACACGCUACGAGGGUGCUAGGCAGACUGACCGUUGCUACUUCCACAACCACUCAUCAUGAUACAACAAACGUGGACUGCCCUCUAAACGCUGCGGCCUCGUAUUUCUCGGUUUUGCUUUCGUUUUGCGAAUAUAAACUCAAUAUCUGACCUUGCCAGUCAUCAUAAUAAAGCUUACUUCAAAAUAAGAUUACUGAACUGAAAAUUAUUUUUAGGCAAAACACUUACAUGCCAACAUUGUUUAAAGUAUUGCAUACAUGAUUGAUGAUGAUUGAAGAUUUAAUUUACAGGCUGGUGUAAAAGACUGGCUGUACCGAUUUGAUCCAGAACUAUAAUUUUAUUUGUACCUUUUAUGGUAGAAAGAAAAAAGAAUGUAAAUAUUUUUAGUUUUAAGACAUUACAGAAAUAAAAUGAUAAUUCAAUUCUA